rnacentral:rRNA from 1 species
CAUACUCAUUUGACGUUAGCUGCAGAAGAAGCACCGGCUAACUCCGUGCCAGCAGCCGCGGUAAUACGGAGGGUGCGAGCGUUAAUCGGAAUUACUGGGCGUAAAGCGCAUGCAGGUGGUUUGUUAAGUCAGAUGUGAAAGCCCGGGGCUCAACCUCGGAAUUGCAUUUGAAACUGGCAAACUAGAGUACUGUAGAGGGGGUAGAAUUUCAGGUGUAGCGGUGAAAUGCGUAGAGAUCUGAAGGAAUACCGGUGGCGAAGGCGGCCCCCUGGACAGAUACUGACACUCAGAUGCGAAAGCGUGGGGAGCAAACAGGAUUAGAUACCCUGGUAG